rnacentral:snRNA from 2 species
AGCUUCACACAGUGGCAGUGUCAUAGCCAAUGAGGUUUAUCUGAGGCACGGUUAUUGCUAAUUGAAGGAAAUCCAUUGACAAAACUCCACUAAACUGGGUUGGUUCUUGGCAUAUGAGUCUGUCCUUAGGCA